AUGAACACUGGCGGCGUGCCUAAUACAUGCAAGUCGAGCGAACAGAUGAGGAGCUUGCUCCUCUGACGUUAGCGGCGGACGGGUGAGUAACACGUGGAUAACCUACCUAUAAGACUGGGAUAACUUCGGGAAACCGGAGCUAAUACCGGAUAAUAUAUUGAACCGCAUGGUUCAAUAGUGAAAGACGGUUUUGCUGUCACUUAUAGAUGGAUCCGCGCCGCAUUAGCUAGUUGGUAAGGUAACGGCUUACCAAGGCAACGAUGCGUAGCCGACCUGAGAGGGUGAUCGGCCACACUGGAACUGAGACACGGUCCAGACUCCUACGGGAGGCAGCAGUAGGGAAUCUUCCGCAAUGGGCGAAAGCCUGACGGAGCAACGCCGCGUGAGUGAUGAAGGUCUUCGGAUCGUAAAACUCUGUUAUUAGGGAAGAACAAAUGUGUAAGUAACUAUGCACGUCUUGACGGUACCUAAUCAGAAAGCCACGGCUAACUACGUG
rnacentral:rRNA from 1 species